CAUGCAGGCAGACAUGGUGCUGGAGAAGUAUCUCAGAGUUCUACAAAUGGAUCUUCAGGCAACUGGGAGAGAGAGACUCAGGGCUUGGAAUGGGCUUUUUAAAACCUCAAAGCCCACCCCCAAUGACACACUUUCUCCAACAAGGCCACACCUCCUAAUCCUUCCAUAUAGUGCCAUCCCCUGGUGACCAAGCAUUCAAAUCUAUGAGCCUGUGGGGACCAUUAUUAUUCAAACUACCAUACCAACCCAAUUCUGGUUGCAGAAGUCUGAUCAAAAUAAGAAAAAGGAAACACCAGGAAAAAAAGAAAAAGCAGAGAACAAAAAGCAACUGAAGGUAGGAAAAGCAAACUCAAGAUAAGAAAACUAAAGCUGUGAAGGCAGAUGAAACCAUACUUCAGAAAAGGAAUACAGAGAAAAUGGAACCCCCACCCCAGCCAGAGCAGCUGCCUGCUAAGGUCAUGCUGGCAAGCAUAAAGAUCCAGGCCUGGUGGCGAGGCACCCUGGUGCGCCGGACCCUGCUGAAGGCUGCCCUCAGUGCUUGGACCAUUCAGUGCUGGUGGAGGCAGACAAUGGCCAGGCUGCUGAAGAGGAGGUUACAGGAGAAGAUGGACUGCAGCCUGAGACAAAUAUAUGCAGCUGUGAAGCUGCAGUCCUGGGUGCGUAUGUGGCUCACCCGGAAGCAAUAUCUCCAUUUGCGCAACUCUGUUCUAAAACUGCAAGACUCUAGGAAUUAUGACUACAUUUGUAGAAAUCAUAGUGCGAUCCAGGGCUGCUAUGAGAUCACAGGAAAGAAGAUAAAACUUCAGGUUGAUAUCUUUUUUGAAUCGCAGAUUUGUCGGAUUUCAGACUGUGUGCCUUUCCCAAUAAAGAACUGACCAGGGUUGCUCCUAA